rfam:Auxenochlorella protothecoides strain 0710 unplaced genomic scaffold scaffold46, whole genome shotgun sequence.
AUACCUUUCUCGGCCUUUUGGCUAAGAUCAAGUGUAGUAUCUGUUCUUACUAGUCUAACAGCUAGUAUCUUGUCCAUUGGACAAGACAAUUGUUAGAUAUAUUUUUCUUGGCGUGUCGCCAUCAGCCUAGUUUACUAGGUCGGCUUCACAGGCAUCGCCUAGGCCUUUCACUCCCGCCUUGGUGGUGCAGCCUUA